UCGCGGAUCAGCACGCCGCGGUGAAUACGUUCCCGGGCCUUGUACACACCGCCCGUCACACCACGAGAGUUUGUAACACCCGAAGUCGGUGAGGUAACCAUUUAGGAGCCAGCCGCCUAAGGUGGGAUAGAUGAUUGGGGUGAAGUCGUAACAAGGUAGCCGUAUCGGAAGGUGCGGCUGGAUCACCUCCUUU
rnacentral:rRNA from 1 species